CAGUGGAAUACCGGUCGGAAAGAACAAAAAAGUUGUAGGUAUGAUGAAAGAUGAAUGUGGAGGAAAACAAAUCUCAGAGUUCGUCGGACUCCGUAGUAAGCUGUAUGCCUAUAAAAAGGCCGAAGGAAAAGAGGAAAAAAAUGUAAAGGUGUGAAGAAGUGUGUAGUCAAAAAUGAAAUAGUAUUCGAGGAUUAUAAAAACUGUCUAUUUAGCGGUAAGGAAAUGUAUAGAACAAUGAAUACAUUCCGGAGUCGACAACACGAAAUAACAACGGAAAGAAUAAACAAAACGGCACUUUCGGCAAACGACGACAAGCGGAUAAUUUUGAACGACAAAAUAAAC
rnacentral:lncRNA from 1 species